rnacentral:rRNA from 1 species
UACGGAGGGGGCUAGCGUUGUUCGGAAUUACUGGGCGUAAAGCGCGCGUAGGCGGACCUGCAAGUCGGGGGUGAAAGCCCGAGGCCCAACCUCGGAACUGCCUUCGAUACUGCGGGUCUCGAGUCCGGGAGAGGUGAGUGGAAUUCCUAGUGUAGAGGUGAAAUUCGUAGAUAUUAGGAAGAACACCAGUGGCGAAGGCGGCUCACUGGCCCGGUACUGACGCUGAGGUGCGAAAGCGUGGGGAGCAAACAGG